rnacentral:rRNA from 1 species
AACGAACGCUGGCGGCAGGCUUAACACAUGCAAGUCGAACGGAACCUUCGGGAUUAGUGGCAGACGGGUGUGUAACGUGUGGGAACGUACCCUUUGCUACGGAAUAAUUCAGGUUAACUUGAGCUAAUAUCGUAUGUGUUCUACUGGGGAAAGAUUUAUCGGCCAAGGAUCGGCCCGCGUUGGUCUAGCUAGUCGGUGGGGUAAUGGCCUAUCAAGGCUACGAUCCAUAGCUGGUCUGAGAGAAAGAUCAGCCACACUGAGACUGAGACACGGCCCAGACUCCUACGGGAGGCAGCAGUGGGGAAUAUUGGACAAUGGGCGCGAGCCUGAUCCAGCCAGGCCGCGUGAGUGAUGAAGGUCUUAGGAUUGUAAAGCUCUUUCACCGGUGAAGAUAAUGACGGUAGCCGAAGAAGAAGCCCCGGCUAACUUCGUG